rnacentral:rRNA from 1 species
GACGAACGCUGGCGGCGUGCCUAACACAUGCAAGUCGAGCGAUGAAGCUUCUUCGGGAGUGGAUUAGCGGCGGACGGGUGAGUAACACGUGGGCAACCUACCUCAUAGUGGGGAAUAGCCUCUCGAAAGGGAGAUUAAUACCGCAUAAGAUCGUAGUUUCGCAUGAAACAGCGAUAAAAGGNUUUAUUCGCUAUGAGAUGGGCCCGCGGCGCAUUAGCUAGUUGGUGGGUAACGGCCUACCAAGGCGACGAUGCGUAGCCGACCUGAGAGGGUGAUCGGCCACAUUGGGACUGAGACACGGCCCAGACUCCUACGGGAGGCAGCAGUGGGGAAUAUUGCACAAUGGGGGGAACCCUGAUGCAGCAACGCCGCGUGAGUGAUGACGGUCUUCGGAUUGUAAAACUCUGUCUUUAGGGACGAUAAUGACGGUACCUAAGGAGGAAGCCACGGCUAACUACGUG